rnacentral:rRNA from 1 species
AUUGAACGCUGGCGGCAUGCCUAACACAUGCAAGUCAACGGAAACGAUGGGAGCUUGCUCCCAGGCGUCGAGUGGCGGACGGGUGAGUAAUACUUAGGAAUCUACCCAGUAGCGGGGGACAACUCGGGGAAACUCGAGCUAAUACCGCAUACGCUCUACGGUGGAAAGCGGGGGAUCUUCGGACCUCGCGCUAUUGGAUGAGCCCAAGUCGGAUUAGCUUGUUGGUAGGGUAAUGGCCUACCAAGGCGACGAUCCGUAGCUGGUCUGAGAGGACGAUCAGCCACACUGGGACUGAGACACGGCCCAGACUCCUACGGGAGGCAGCAGUGGGGAAUAUUGGACAAUGGGCGCAAGCCUGAUCCAGCAAUGCCGCGUGUGUGAAGAAGGCCUGCGGGUUGUAAAGCACUUUCAGUAGAGAAGAAAAGCCUAGGGUUAAUACCCCUGAGUCUUGACGUAACCUACAGAAGAAGCACCGGCUAACUCCGUG